AACGCGAAGAACCUUACCAGGUCUUGACAUCCCGCGCAUAGCCUAGAGAUAGGUGAAGCCCUUCGGGGCGCGGAGACAGGUGGUGCAUGGUUGUCGUCAGCUCGUGUCGUGAGAUGUUGGGUUAAGUCCCGCAACGAGCGCAACCCUUACUAUUAGUUGCUACGCAAGAGCACUCUAAUGGGACUGCCGUUGACAAAACGGAGGAAGGUGGGGAUGACGUCAAAUCAUCAUGCCCUUUAUGACCUGGGCUACACACGUAAUACAAUGGCGCUGAACAGAGGGAAGCAAAACGGCGACGUGGAGCAAAUCCCCAAAAAGCGUCUCAGUUCGGAUCGCAGGCUGCAACCCGCCUGCGUGAAGUCGGAAUUGCUAGUAAUCGCGGAUCAGCAUGCCGCGGUGAAUACGUUCCCGGGUCUUGUACACACCG
rnacentral:rRNA from 1 species